rnacentral:lncRNA from 1 species
CUACAUAAUUAGGUUUUUAUAUCGUCAAAUUAUCAAUUUUUACUUAACUUGUGUUAAUUUUCUUUUGUUUUUAGUUAUGGACCCGUUUUGAAGCAACUGGAAAAGAAAAUAAUCAAUUGGCUAUUACAUUGAGUUUGUGGACAAAAUCUCGCGGAAUAAAAGAUGGAGGAUCAAAAUUGAGGAGAAAAUGAAGAGAAGGACCAACUUGCAUUACACGAAAGAAUUGGGUACACAAAACUUAUUGGACUUGGGCUUCUAAUUUGUAUACAGAAUAAGGGCUUUUUUUGUUUAGGUAUAUGUAUACUUGCAGCCGAGAAAAGCCGGGGGGAGUAGACAAAAAUUCAUAAACACAUAGACAGAAAACGGCGAGGAGGAGGCAGCCGUGGGAGGAAAUUAGAAUCCCUUUUGGGAUUAUUCAAGUCGGCGGCAAAUUGAGAGGAAGCCGGGGCUGAGUUGAAUAUAUUAAAUACAAAAGAAAACGACAGGUUGAAGGGAGUGUCGGGGGCUGAAUUUAUAUUAUUGGAUGCACAUAAAACGGCAGAUUGAAAUUGCAGAAUUGAUAAAGACGGCCAGCAGCUGACGGUGAAUUGGUGGGCUGCAGAGUUUGAAUUAAAUACAUAUACACACCCACAAGAAGCCAAUAUUUGGAAGAGAUUAGAGACGCAGAAAACGACAGAUUGACGGCGGCUAAAAUUAAUAAAUUUGGAAGCUGAAUUGAUUAUAUUAUAUACAAAACAAUUGAAGUAGGCGGCAGCUUUGGACUCUAGUAUUGUAUUACAAAAGUGAGGGGCCUAAUUGGAAUAAUAUAUAUACUAGAUAGAGGACAGCAAACACGAGACGGAGACGGACGGAAGGCAGCGGCUUAAAGGAAAAAAUUUCAGAUUACUCUUGGAAGGAACUUUGAUGUCAAUCACGUUCCGUCAAUUAUUGGUGAUGUCGUUCCACUUUUAUUUAUUUAAUUUUGCCGUUAUGUUAGGCUAGAUCUUUUCAUGCUAGGAUUUGCGAUGAACCUUAUAUUAUGAACCCCUUAAUCUUGAAUUUUAUUUAUUUGACGUUAAAACAUGUUUUUAAUUAUUGAAUGAUUGGCAUGGAUUUUAUUUUCUCUACAAUUAUAGGCGCAAUAUUUGUAUGAGAUUUGUGGCUUGUUUUACUCUCGAGAGAUAGAAAAUAAGUUAGACAUUAUGUUAAUUGUCGUAAAGUCCGAUAGGGGAUAGAAAUAUAUCGCUAUGUUUUACGUGAUCUUUAAGUAUUCAUAAAUCUUUAAUACAUUUUUAUAUGUUCGCAUCCGUCAUAGAAAUAUAGUCAGAUCGCAUGUGAAAAUAGGUUUAAUUCUACUCGAGAGAGAUUGUUAAACAAAUUAGGAAUAUUGGUCUUCAUAAUUGAAUCGCGUUGUCAAUUUUAUAAAAUUCGGAUUAAAGAGGAUUGAUAUAAGGGGAUUUGGGAUCCUAGUACGCAUUUCAUUAUCAUAUUUUUAUAAAACUUGCAUUUAGUUAUAAUCACACAUUUAAUUUAGUUAAUUUAGAUUUUAUAUUUAUAAGUAAGUUAUUAAAUUAUAAUUUAGUUAGCGAAAAAUUUCUAUUGUUUCGGUUAAGGCGUAGAUAAUUUAAAUUUAAACUAAUACAAUUUCUGUGGGACAAUACUUGGAUUCAAAAGGUCCACUUUAUUACUUGAACGCGACCCGUGCACUUGCGGUGUAGGAUUUUAGCGAACAAGUUUUUGGCGCCGUUGCCGGGGAUUGUAUUUUAGUUUAAUUUCAUUUAUCUUGGCACCAAUUCGAACUUUUCUUUUCUUAUUAUUUUAUUUUAUUUAUUAUUAUUAUUAUUAUUAUUAUUAUUAUUAUUAUUUUAUUUUUAUUUUACGGUUAUUUUGGCACUUUAAUUUUCUCUUGCAUUUUAUGCGAAAUUUGAGGGACGGUGAACUGAUACCAACUGAUCCAGAAAUCGAACGUACUUUUUACCUUAGGCAAAGAGAAGCAAGAGAAAUAAAACAACAAGAGAUGGCCAACGGACAGAAUAAUCCAAUUAUUCAAGUGAACGAAGAAGCAGUGGUUAAUGAAGGAAACAUGCUAGUUGGGGACUUUAUGACUCCACAAAUUAUUCAAAGCCAAUCUAGCAUCGUUUAUCCUCUGUUUGGACAACCAAAUUUUCAGCUGAAGACCAAUGUCAUUCAUUUAUUCCAAAAUGGACAUCAAUUUUAUGGCAGGUCUGAUGAAAAUCCACAUAUACAUGUCUCUCAAUUUUUGGAGAUGUGUCAACACUUUAAAUAUCAAGGGAUUUCAGAUGAUGCAAUCAAAUUGAGAUUAUUUCCACAUACUCUACGGGAUAGAGCGCUUGAAUGGUUAGAUUCACAGCCUAUUGCUAGUAUCACCACUUGGAAUGACUUGGCUAAAAAAUUUUGCACCAAAUUCUUCCCACCGGCUAAGAUUACGAAAUUGAAGCAUGACAUAUCCAUAUUUGGGCAGGGAGAAACCGAAUCCUUUGAAGCUUGGAAUAGAUUCAAGAACAUGCUUUGGAAGUGCCCUCAUCAUGGCAUCAACAAAGGGCUUCAGGUCCAAUAUUUUUAUGCAGGUCUACUUCCAUCUUAUAAAAGCUUGGUGGACUCAUCAUCUAAUGGCUCCUUAUCCACAAAGACAAUUGAUGAAGCUUUGGAGUUGUUUGAGAGUGUGGCUACUACCACAGCCAUGUGGGCCUCUAAGCGUGUUGUUUACAAGAAAGUACCAGAAGUUUAUGAGGUGGAUACGUAUACAGCGUUGUCUGCAAAAAUUGACUCUUUGGUUCAUAAGGUAGAGAGCAUGUCACAGUCAGCUAAUGUAGUACAGGCUAAAAGAGCAAGUUGUGAAGAAUGUGGGGUGGAUCACAGUACAGUAAAUUGUCCAAUUCGUAUACAAAGUACGGAACACGUUGAUUUCAUACAAGGGGGUCAGCGCCAACAAAAUAAUCCAUAUUCUGACACCUACAACCCUAGUUGGAGGAAGCACCCGAAUUUUCCUGGAGUAAUCAGAAUCUCACUGCACCACAUGGUUCUCAGUUUCAGCAAGCAGAGAAGAGAACUUCCUUGGAAGAGAUGUUUGGUAAAUUCAUGGAAAAGACAGAUCAGUACAUGAAUGCGAAUAAUCAAUUUAUGAGGAAGAUUGAGACAACUAUCCAGAAUCAAAGUGCUGUAAUUAAAAACUUGGAGACUCAGAUGGGACAGAUGGCAGAAGUUAUAUCGGGCAGAGCACCAUGUACAUUGCCAAGCAAUACAGAGGUUAAUCCGAAAGAACACGUCAAAGCAAUUACUACUAGAAGUGGGGUCCAAUUACCUGAGUUCCAUGUUAAGAGGCCAACUGCAAAUAAGGAAAAAGUACCCUCUACUGAUGAAGAGCAUGCAGAACAGACUGAACAAACAACAGAUACAUCUAUCAAAGAGAGUUCAAAUACACUGCAAGUUAAGGAAGCUGCUCCUAUUAAACCAUACGAGUCGCCAAU